CUCCUGCCAGAGCCCACACCCCACCAUACGUAGAUCUGGCCGGGAGCCCCUCCACCACCAUCCCCGCCCCUCCCGUGCGGCCUUCCUCGUCUCUGGUGAUGAAGUUCGUCCCCGGAUCCGUGACGACGGCGCCUCGGUGACAACCCCACGCGUGCGGCUUGGCCGGCCCAGAUCCGAUCUGGCGACCCCCCCCCCCUUCUGACUGGCUGAUGCGUCCUCCGGCCCGGCAUGCCCGCCUCCUCCCUUGGCAGCGGGGACUUGGUCUUGCUCCUCCCCUGGCCGCAUCCUCCCUCGGCAGCACUCUCUCUUCAUGUUGCAUUCUUGCUGGUGGUGGUUGGGCUUGGUCACUUGAUACAUGUCUGAUUGAUGAACUUGAUAUUGCGACCUUUCACAUCUUUAGGUUCUGGAAGUUAGAUUAUCUUGGCCUGGAUGUGCAUACUCGCCUGGUCAAUAUGAUUUCCUGAUUUGAGCAUAUGUUCUGUGUUGCAGGUCCUUGAGUUUGGGUGUGACUGGCCAUUAAGCUUGGUGGCUCAUAAUAUUUGCUCGAUGGAAACCAAGCAUACCACGGGAGGAUUCAAAGAAUUUCUAUUGGGAAAUCAAAGGGGGCAAUAACUUCAAUUGGGAGAAGUCGCUAGAAAAGAAGGAGACCUCUACCUGGUAACCACAUUCUCCACGUGGACGUGGGAAUAAGAAAGCGUAGCAGAGACAUGAAAAGCAAGGAUCAUACCCCACCCACGCGGCGGCACGACGCAGAAGGGCUACAUGGGUUAAUAGCGGCGUGUGCAAUGGAAGGACGCCUACGAGAACAAGCUCGCCGAGGUCUUGGAAUUCCAACCUAGGUAAACAAGUGAGCUCACUUUAACAGUUUACCCUUUUUUGGUGAUGUGGGCUAACUCAUUAAUUAAGGGCUACUCAGCUCUGUAUUUUUCUCUCUUUGGUAAUAGAAAUCCCCCUACAUCGCCUCUGUUCGAUUUUGGUAGCUAUCCUUGUUCUAGAUCAUAGGGUUGUCAUCUUCAUAUGUCAUAUGAUAUAUAAUUGAUGCAAAUUGCAGCUGACCCAUCGUCUAUCUGUAACCAUUUAUCUGUAGUUGUGCUCUUUGGCCAGAACGGUGGUAUCUUUGGCCAGAUGACUGGACCAUCUUCUAUGAUCCAGAAGAAGCACCUCUCGCACAAACAUGUAUAUUUAUUUGUGAAUUCGAUCCUAACAAGAGUAUUUGACCUUUAACAUUUUUCUGACAGAAAGUAUGACCACCAAAAUUUCUUGGAAUUCAAUAGCUCCUAAAACAGAUGUUUUGUCAUAGUGAAGGAACCAGAGGGGAGGAUAUAUAGUAGGAUGAAUGUCAUGGCAGCAACUGCAAGCUGCAAAAACAUUAUUGUUACGGGGUGCACCAGUUUCAACUGUGUCUUCUUGCAAGCUCCUUGUCAAGGAGAGUCCCAAGGUCAGUCUGUACUCUGUUGGCUAAUUAAUCCAUUGACUAUGUCCUAUGAUUCUCUAGGAGCACUAAGAAAUUGUAUGUUUUUUUAUAAGGUGACUGAAACAAAAAUAAUAAUAUUUUCACGCCACAUCCAGGAGAUGAAAACUUUAUUGGUAAAAAGACACAAGCUUACCCUUUUCAGCUUGUCUCAAGCAAUUAAGAGUUCCGUUCUUAUUUUUGAGCACUUCGAAUGUGUAUCUCUUAUGGACUAAUACUUUCUGAUCUGACACCCUAGUAACAUCAUGAUUUUGUGUAAUUUUUCUGAGUGCAAGGCUGGCUGACCCAUUUUUUUACAAGGAUUUGCAAUACUGAGAGACUCAGCCUGCACUGGUAAAAAUCCCAAUUGACUUUGCCCUUGAUUAUUGCAAUAAUGGGUUGAUUUUAGUGGUUUGGUCUGUGACGUGAAUGUGAGCUAGAGUAUAGGGAUUACCUGUGCCACUAUCAGUUGGCUUACAGUUUGGUGAUCCAGCACAAUCUUUCUAUUUUCUUCAAAUUCUUAAGCAAUUACUCACGUUUGAAGAAUGACGAUGGAGCAUACCUUCUUUUAGAAAACUAUACUGUGGACCAUGGGUGUUCAAGAUUAUAUUGUGGUUUGGGCAAUUGUGAGACGUCUAUCACCAUGAAUUGCUUAGAUGAUGCACCAAAGUGGACCUAUUUUGCAUUCAUGGACUUUGAUAUUUUUACUGAUCUCAUGGUUGUGAACAUCAAUGGUGUAAAGUAUAUGUAUUGCUGCUCAUAGAUAAAUCUUUACCGAGUUUUCAUUUUAUCAUGUACACUUCAAGUCUUGCUUGCCAAACUUCCACAAGUUCAUGUUAAAUUGUUAACUGCCUCAUGUUUGUUCUUCAUUAUUCCAUAUCAAAGUGAUGUUGUCCAAUGCGUCUGUUCCUGUCUGAUGAAAUUGCUUUCCAUGAGGUAUGCCCUGAAGAUGACACAAUAUCAUUCCUCUUGGUGCCUGUGCUAAUAUAACUCUUAUUUUGAAAAAAAAAACAGUUUCUAUGUAUUUGGGAGCAGGAUAUUAGGUAGAAAUCUUUUGGUGAACUGCAGAUUUAAGCGUCUCUGGCGAGUUCUUUGUCGGUCAGCACCACCUCCCUUGGCGCUUGACCUAGCAGAUGUGUGUGCGUGUGCAGAUCACCCAUGCCUCCACUACGCCACCUGCUGUUGGAUGGCACUGGCCGUCCAAGCGUGUGGAACUGGAAGGACUGUCCUUCAUGGUGGCACAACUCAGCUCGGAGGAUAAAAGACCAAGGUCCUGCAGGUAACAUCCCAUCAACUACCUGUCUACUCCCUCCGUCCCAAUAUAAGUGACUCAACUUUGUACUAACUUUAGUACAAAGUUAGUACAAACUUGAGUCACUUAUUUUCGGACGGAGGGAUUACUAAAUAGAAAGCUUCCAUCUUGAUGUAAUUUACUGGAGGUUAAUCCUACUUGCUUGUUUGAUAAACCUUGUCAUAUGCUUCAUGUGAGGUUUCUUGUAUUGGUAGCAGGCAAUGAGUUACUAUAUAUGAUAUCAUAUUCCAAAUACAAUUAUUCAACUCAUCAGUUCAGCAGAUCCUACAUAAAAGGAAAAGUGAACAGACAACAUGCAUUUGCUUUGGUUUAUGGUUUUUUAGAGCAUCACUAAGUUUGCCAAAAGAAAUUCGCCCAAAACAAACAUCACGACACUCCGUUUUAGCCUAAACAGAAGUGGCUUCAGUUUAUGACAUCUCUGAAUUUUGAGAAUAGUAGGACAUGAUCUGCAAUUGCGCUUUGCAAGUUUUACUGAUUUCUUGUGCAAGAUCCUAAAACAGUUUACCAUUUUGAUCCCUAGAUUUUCUUAUAUUGUCGAAGUUUCUUCCAAAUAAAUAUACAAUAUGUUUGGGGUUUAUCUGAGUGCCUAGCAUGGUGCAACAGUUAUAUUUUUCUUCAACGACGGUGAAAGAGCUAUCACUUAUAUCGAUCUCCAAUUCAAGUUCUUUUUUUCUAUGGAGGGCACUGUAACUAUCUCAUGGUCAGAACAUUGAUCCUGUUAGUAAUUUAGUCUAUAAUAUUUAGUUUCAAAAGAUAAUUUCUCUUGAGUGAGAAGUUUCCAUUUCUCUUGAGUGAGAAAUUUCCAGAGGGCGGCGGUGUUGAAGGGAGCCGCUGGCGCUGGCCAAGAUCCCAACCGAUGGACGUGCCUGGUCGCUGGAUCCAGUUCACGCGUUGGCUUGGGGGCACCUCGGGGAUGUCACCGGUGUUGGAGGCGUCCACAAUAGUGCGGGAUGGGGACCGAGCGUCGGGGCAUGUCGCGGGUUCCGGUUGAGGGCUUGAUCAUAUAACUGAAUUCUUAUUGCUUGCUUUCUGACAUUGUGACAUUGAACACUAGAGCUGAAUUGACUCUCUUCACAAGACUCACUUUGAUACAGCCUUCAUGUGAAGUUUUCAAGUACUACAUAUAGGAGGGGGCAGGAGUGGCUGCAAUCUUGCUACGAAAUGACACUUAUGGAGCUUCUUUACCUAACAUGGCCAAGAAGUCUGCAAACUCCAGUAAUCGUAGAGUAGAGCCGGUUGGAUACAUAUUUGCAGAGUGCAUGUAGUGUGUGUGUCAGAUAUACAGUGGGAAAACACAACAAUGCAAGUGUCAGAUCCUGUUCUCGAUGCAAUUUUGCGACUCUAUUCUGGACUGUAAGCAAUUGGUUGAUGUUAAGCUGAAACUCGGAUCAGUCUUGUGGCUCUUGUGUACCUAUAUGCCUAGAUUAUUUAAUAAUGGUAUAUGAACUAUAUCUUCCUGUAUAGGAUGAUCAAU
rnacentral:rRNA from 1 species